GCAAAAGGAGAAAUUGCAUUUAUUCCAAGAAUUCCCGUGAUUCCGUCGGACUUGCCGUUUCCGUUCAAACGGUUUUAAUUCUCUGUUAAAGUUUCUUUGGCAAUCACGAUACACAAAGCUCAAGGUCAAACAUACAGGUACGUUGGCGUAGGUCUUCGAACACAGUGCUUUUCACAUGGACAAUUAUACGUGAGAUUUUCUCGAACUGGGGACCCGAAGCAUCUUAUGAUUUUAAUUUCAACAGGAGAUAAAACAAA
rnacentral:lncRNA from 1 species